CAGUAGCCGCGGGAAUACAGAGGGUGCGAGCGUUAAUCGGAUUUACUGGGCGUAAAGCGUGCGCAGGCGGUGUUGUAAGACUGAUGUGAAAUCCCCGGGCUCAACCUGGGAACUGCAUUGGUGACUGCAACGCUGGAGUGCGGCAGAGGGGGAUGGAAUUCCGCGUGUAGCAGUGAAAUGCGUAGAUAUGCGGAGGAACACCGAUGGCGAAGGCAAUCCCCUGGGCCUGCACUGACGCUCAUGCACGAAAGCGUGGGGAGCAAACAGGAUUAGAUACCCCCGUAGUCCCUGUCUCUUAUAC
rnacentral:rRNA from 1 species